UGCGAGCGUUAAUCGGAAUUACUGGGCGUAAAGCGCAUGCAGGUGGUUCAUUAGUCAGAUGUGAAAGCCCGGGGCUCAACCUCGGAACUGCAUUUGAAACUGGUGAACUAGAGUACUGUAGAGGGGGGUAGAAUUUCAGGUGUAGCGGUGAAAUGCGUAGAGAUCUGAAGGAAUANCAGUGGCGAAGGCGGCCCCCUGGACAGAUACUGACACUCAGAUGCGAAAGCGUGGGGAGCAAACAGGAUUAGAUACCCUGGGUAGUCCACGCCGUAAACGAUGUCUACUUGGAGGUUGUGGCCUUGAGCCGUGGCUUUCGGAGCUAACGCGUUAAGUAGACCGCCUGGGGAGUACGGUCGCAAGAUUAAAACUCAAAUGAAUUGACGGGGGCCCGCACAAGCGGUGGAGCAUGUGGUUUAAUUCGAUGCAACGCGAAGAACCUUACCUACUCUUGACAUCCAGAGAAUCCAGCGGAGACGCAGGAGUGCCUUCGGGAGCUCUGAGACAGGUGCUGCAUGGCUGUCGUCAGCUCGUGUUGUGAAAUGUUGGGUUAAGUCCCGCAACGAGCGCAACCCUUAUCCUUGUUUGCCAGCGAGUAAUGUUGGGAACUCCAGGGAGACUGCCGGUGAUAAUCCGGAUGGAAGGUGGGGACGACGUCAAGUCAUCAUGGCCCUUACGAGUAGGGCUACACACGUGCUACAAUGGCGCAUACAGAGGGCAGCUUGCCAGCGAUGGUAAGCGAUUCCCAAAAAGUGCGUGGUUGUCCGGAUUUGAGUCUGCAACGCGACUCCAUGAAGUUGGAGUCGCUAGUAGUCGUUCAUGA
rnacentral:rRNA from 1 species